rnacentral:lncRNA from 1 species
AUGAAGACUUAGACAAGAAAAACAAGUGGAAAGAGGCUGGUCACAGAAAGCUGAGCAGUUCAAAACUCAUUAGGUGGGGAGCUAAGCAAGUUGGGACUUCCUGGCCGGCUCCUGGUCACAGCAGCAGGCGGGAGCAUCCGCCCAGAUCCCCCAGGGAAGAAAAGAGAGAGGCAUUGAUGCUGUAAGUCUGGUGAACCAGAAAAAUAACAUUACUUCAUCUCUUAAAAAGAAAAAGGAUGGGACUUCCCUGGUGGCACAGUGGUUAAAAAUCCGCCUGCCAAUGCAGGGGACAGGGGUUCAUUGAUGCUGUAAGUCUGGUGAACCAGAAAAAUAACAUUACUUCAUCUCUUAAAAAGAAAAAGGAUGGGACUUCCCUGGUGGCACAGUGGUUAAAAAUCCGCCUGCCAAUGCAGGGGACAGGGGUUCAAGAAAAAUAACAUUACUUCAUCUCUUAAAAAGAAAAAGGAUGGGACUUCCCUGGUGGCACAGUGGUUAAAAAUCCGCCUGCCAAUGCAGGGGACAGGGGUUCAAGCUCUGAUCUGGGAAGAUCCCACACGCUGAGGAACAACUAAGCCCGUGCACCACAACUAUUGAGCCUGCACUCUAGAGCCCGCGAGCCACAACUACUGAGCCCACGUGCCACAACUACUGAAGCCUGUGCACCUAGAGCCCAUGCUCCGUAACAAGAGAAGCUAUUGCAAUGAGAAGCCCAUGCACGGCAACGAAGAGUAGCCCCUGCUCACUGCAACUAGAGAAAGCCCGCGUGCAGCAACAAAGACCCAACGGAGCCAAAAAUAAAUAAAUAAAUAAACUAAAAAAAAAAAAAGGAAUAAAAAAGAAGUUUUUUUCCAUGACUGGAAAAAAACCUCAGAUUUGACUGGAAGAGUUCAGGUUUUAGAUAUGUUGAGUUUGAAAUGACUAUAAGUAUUUCUUAUGGGCCAUUGAAAACAGCCAAACUGGGAAACUUCUUUGACAGUUUAGUCAGCCAUGAAGUAGUCAUCGGGUUUAUUAAUUAAGGAAUUACAAUAAAUUAUUUAAUUCUAGCAGAAAGGAGAGAGUUAAAACUUGAAAAUUAUGAAUCCUGUGUUUAAGGACACAAAUAAUUUUGUGCCAUAAUUUUGUUACAUAAAACAUGACCAUUAAUAGGCAUGCUGUUGUCUCUUGAAUGUGGAAAGAUUUUAUUGUAUGAGUACCUGUCACAUAUGAUUUAAUCUCUACUUAUGUAUAUUUUUUCAUGUUUUCCAGUUUUUUUUGAUAAUGUAUAGUAUUUUAUAAAUCAGGAAAAAAGUAGGAAACAUUUUUUUAACUAAAAAAUAAAGACUCACUAUAUCUACUUCUGAAUGAAUAUCUUUGUGGUGAGCACUUGCCUUUACACACCAAACAUACGUAAAUACAGAAGUUACUAAAUGUACCCAGAACUCACUGGAGCUCUCCCUCCAAGAAGUACACACAUGUUGAUGUUUCUUGGAAUUCCCUACAGCUGGUUUCCCUUCUCUGGUUUUAGACAGCUUUGAUCCCCAAAAUCAGUGGGCUGGAAUUAUGCAAUAAGCCCAUUGUUCCAGUACUUCUCCCCGAAGGCAAAAUUCAGGGAUUUGUCCUUUUUUUAUUAUUCUA